rnacentral:rRNA from 1 species
CUUAAAAGGCGGGGCGAUGUUUAGAGAUGAGCUCGCGUCCUAUCAGCUAGUUGGUAGGGUAAUGGCCUACCAAGGCUUUUGACGGGUAGCUGGCCUGAGAGGGUGGUCAGCCACACGGGGACUGAGACACUGCCCCGACUCCUACGGGAGGCUGCAGUCGAGGAUCUUUAGCAAUGGGCGAAAGCCUGACUAUGCGACGCCGCGUGAGGGAUGAAGGUUUUCGGAUCGUAAACCUCUUUCGAUGGGGAAGAAUUCCUAUAUCAUAACAGGUGUAGCCUUGAAAAGUACUGG